rnacentral:rRNA from 1 species
GAUGAACGCUGGCGGCGUGCCUAAUACAUGCAAGUCGAGCGAACAGACGAGGAGCUUGCUCCUCUGACGUUAGCGGCGGACGGGUGAGUAACACGUGGAUAACCUACCUAUAAUACUGGGAUAACUUCGGGAAACCGGAGCUAAUACCGGAUAAUAUAUUCAACCGCAUGGUUCAAUAGUGAAAGACGGCUUUGCUGUCCCUUUUAGAUGGAUCCGCGCCGCAUUAGCUAGUUGGUAAGGUAACGGCUUACCAAGGCAACGAUGCGUAGCCGACCUGAGAGGGUGAUCGGCCACACUGGAACUGAGACACGGUCCAGACUCCUACGGGAGGCAGCAGUAGGGAAUCUUCCGCAAUGGGCGAAAGCCUGACGGAGCAACGCCGCGUGGGUGAUGAAGGUCUUCGGAUCGUAAAACUCUGUUAUUAGGGAAGAACAAAUGUGUAAGUAACUAUGCACGUCUUGACGGUACCUAAUCAGAAAGCCACGGCUAACUACGUG